UACGUAGGUGACCAGCGUUGUCCGGAUUUACUGGGCGUAAAGAGCGCGCAGGCGGUCGUUCAAGUCGAGUGUGAAAGCCCCCGGCUCAACUGGGGAGGGUCACUCGAUACUGAUCGACUUGAAGGCAGGAGAGGGAAGCGGAAUUCCCGGUGUAGUGGUGAAAUGCGUAGAUAUCGGGAGGAACACCAGUGGCGAAGGCGGCUUCCUGGCCUGUUCUUGACGCUGAGGCGGCGGAAAGCUAGGGGAGCAAACGGGG
rnacentral:rRNA from 1 species